CAGUCGCCACGGGAAAACCAGCAGCCCAAGUGGUGGUCGCGUUUAUUGGGCCUAAAGCGCUCGUAGCCUGACCGGUAAGUUCCCCGUGAAAUCGGGUCGCCCAACGAUUCGGCUUGCGGGGAAUACUGUCGGUCUUGGGGCCGGGAGACGCCGAGGGUACUCCGGGGGUAGCGGUGAAAUGCUGUAAUCCUCGGGGGACUACCAGUGGCGAAGGCGCUCGGCGAUAACGGGCCUGACGGUGAGGGGCGAAAGCUGGGGGCGCGAACGGGAUUAGAUACCCCCGUAGUCCCUGUCUCUUAUA
rnacentral:rRNA from 1 species